AAUUCAUCGGCAUAUCACUGGAUAGAAAUUAUUAAUGGAAGGUUUCCUAUUCUCCAAACUCUAAGGCCUAAAGUGUCUACAAUUUUAAACUGUAAAGGCGUUAUUUCGAAAAGCACGGGGGUUCGAGAGAUUGGUAGCACGAUACUGGCCAACCGAAGCUGCUCUCCCCUCCGUUUCGCUCGAGAGGCGCUCGCGCGCUAAUGCGCGUACGCAGAUCCUCGGGACGUGGCAACGUCGCCAACGACCACGUCGUCACGGUCACCUGACUUUUCGUGGAAACGCGAUGCUGCCGUCCGCGCGAAUAAGGUAUGCGACGAAUGCUGGCAGCGUGCACUGGCUGACUUACCAUGUACAAGUUCCAUUUUGACUCUCUCUCGAGAGCCUCGAUGGAACGAUAAAUCCGAGGAUCGAUGGAGGCUCGAUGGAACAAGUAAACGAACAUCGGGGAAGGAUUCCGUGUUGAAGCCGUAACGGGGAAAGUACGGGGGAAAAUCUUGUUGGUCGUACGACGGUGUACGACGACGGGGCGCCACGAUUCUUGGAGCCUGGAGCACGUACGGAGACCGGAAUAACCGAGAGACACAGGCCGUCUACGUCUAUCACGUGGCCUGUUAAAAUAAGUGCGUGGUAGCGACAGCGUGCAGGAACGUUCCGAGUUUCGACGAGUGCCACCAUUCUUGAUAUGGAUUACGACGAUCGAAACGCGUCAAUGUGCCAGCGAACAAUAACACGAUAACGAUAACCGAGCUCCCGUCGAUCGAUUAUCGGUCAGUUUAUUUCCACGAACGCGAUAUUUCGUGACGACCGAUAUCGACAUGUACGUAAUUGUAUUGCACGUUGUACCGUAGCAGAGUACAGGCUUCUCUCGCGCCUUCGCUCAGAAACGCCAAUAAUGAUUGGUCACUCGACAAAAAAAAAAAAAAAAAAAAACAAAGAAUACAAAAUACUAAUUAGGUUACGGUUGUGCACGCCGAUACGUUGCUUUCGUUGUCAGUGACGAAAGUUCUUCGAACGAGUUUAUUCCACCGUUUCAGUUUCUUCGAACAGUAUUGUAUACACGUACAUGUAUGCAUACGGACGCCCGUUUCGAAAAUUCUACCGAUUUAUGGACACUCAUUGUUGAAAGAACAAUUCGAACAAGAAAAUAAAUUUAAUCGUGUCGUUCU